rfam:Thecamonas trahens ATCC 50062 unplaced genomic scaffold supercont1.43, whole genome shotgun sequence.
GGACCUGUGGUGUAAUGGCAGCAUUGAGGAUUCCAGUCCCUCAGAUCGGAGUUCGAUUCUCUGCGGGUCCA